rnacentral:rRNA from 1 species
AACGUAGGAGCCUAGCGUUAUCCGAAUUCACUGGGCGUAAAGCGCGUGCAGGCGGUUCGUUAAGUCAGAUGUGAAAGCCCCGGGCUUAACCUGGGAAUGGCAUUUGAGACUGGCGAGCUGGAGUCUGGCAGAGGGGGGUGGAAUUCCACGUGUAGCAGUGAAAUGCGUAGAGAUGUGGAGGAACACCGAUGGCGAAGGCAGCCCCCUGGGCUGAGACUGACGCUCAGGCACGAAGGCCAGGGGAGCAAACGGG